UACGGGGGGAGCAAGCGUUGUUCGGAUUUACUGGGCGUAAAGGGCGCGUAGGCGGCCACCGCAAGUCAAUUGUGAAAUCUCCGGGCUUAACUCGGAAAGGUCAACUGAUACUGCGGGGCUAGAGUGCGGAAGGGGCAACUGGAAUUCUCGGUGUAGCGGUGAAAUGCGUAGAUAUCAUGAGGAAUACCAGAGGCGAAGGCGGCUACCUGGACAAUUGCUGACGCUCAGGCACGAAAGCGUGGGGAGCAAAAGGG
rnacentral:rRNA from 1 species